rnacentral:lncRNA from 1 species
CCGCGGUCGACCAGCUCCACUCUACCUCAUCUACUCAACUCCAUCAAGCCCACUUAUCUUGCCCAAACCUUCAUAACUUCAACUUGAGCUUCACCAAACCUGAAAUACUACAUAUGCAUAUGCUAUGCACCUAAUUGGAUUCUAAAUGCAUUCUAAGUGAUUCAAAUGAGUAUGAAAAUGACAAGUAAAUCAUCUAAAAUC